GCCAAAAGUGGUAAAAAUUAAAUGCAUCAUUCUCUCUCCUUUCUCCACACCAUUUUCGUAUUUCUCACCAACACAAACAUUCAAAUAGCUUUCUCCAUUUCAAAAUGCCGAGAAUACACCAAGGAAACCAAAGUUCAAAUUGCAAAAGAUUACAAGAACAACAACCCCAAAGUUCUACUCAUCAAUUCACUUCUAACACUAACUUUUCUUCAACUUUCUUUGCAAAAACGAAAAUAAAACCUAAACCAUCAACUCCAACUCUGUCCAGCCACCAUAACAACACAAAAUUCUAGUCCAUUCCUU
rnacentral:lncRNA from 1 species